rnacentral:rRNA from 1 species
AUUGAACGCUGGCGGCAGGCCUAACACAUGCAAGUCGAGCGGAUGAAGGGAGCUUGCUCCUGGAUUCAGCGGCGGACGGGUGAGUAAUGCCUAGGAAUCUGCCUGGUAGUGGGGGAUAACGUCCGGAAACGGGCGCUAAUACCGCAUACGUCCUGAGGGAGAAAGUGGGGGAUCUUCGGACCUCACGCUAUCAGAUGAGCCUAGGUCGGAUUAGCUAGUUGGUGGGGUAAAGGCCUACCAAGGCGACGAUCCGUAACUGGUCUGAGAGGAUGAUCAGUCAAACGGGGACAGGUACACGCCCCAGAGGCCUACGGGAGGAAGAAGUGGGGAAUAUUGAACAGUGGUCGCAAGCCUGAUGCAGAGCCGUCGCGUGAGGGAUGACGGCUUUCGGGUUAUAAACAUAUGUAAGCAUCGAAGAAGCGAAAGUGACGGUAGGUGAAGAGAAAGCGCCGGCUAACUACGUG